UAUAACUUUCAGCAACGGAUCUCUUGGCUCUCGCAUCGAUGAAGAACGCAGCGAAUUGCGAUAUGUAAUGUGAAUUGCAGAUUUUCAGUGAAUCAUCGAAUCUUUGAACGCACCUUGCGCACCUUGGUAUUCCGAGGAGCAUGCCUGUUUGAGUGUCA
rnacentral:rRNA from 1 species